rnacentral:rRNA from 1 species
GCUCAGAAACUCAAAGGAAUUGACGGGGGCCCGCACAAGCGGUGGAGCAUGUGGUUUAAUUCGAUGCAACGCGAAGAACCUUACCUGGUCUGACAUCCCGGAGACCCUUAGGAAACUAGGGGGUGCUUCCAUCUGGAAGAAUCUGGAGACAGGUGGUGCAUGGUUGUCGUCAGCUCGUGUCGUGAGAUGUUGGGUUAAGUCCCGCAACGAGCGCAACCCUUGUGUUUAGUUGCAAACAGGUCAAGCUGUGCACUCUAGACAGACUGCCGUGGACAACACGGAGGAAGGUGGGGAUGACGUCAAAUCAUCAUGCCCCUUAUGAUCUGGGCUACACACGUGCUACAAUGGCCGGUACAACGGGCAGCGAAGGAGCGAUCCGGAGCGAAUCCUAAAAAGCCGGUCCCAGUUCGGAUUGCAGGCUGAAACUCGCCUACAUGAAGUUGGAGUUGCUAGUAAUCGCGAAUCAGAAUGUCGCGGUGAAUGCGUUCCCGGGUCUU